UACAGAGGUCUCAAGCGUUGUUCGGAUUCAUUGGGCGUAAAGAGCGUGUAGGCGGCCAGAUAGGUCUGCUGUGAAAACUCGAGGCUCAACCUCGAGCUGUCGGCGGAAACCAUUUGGCUAGAGUCCGGAAGAGGAAAGUGGAAUUCCUGGUGUAGCGGUGAAAUGCGCAGAUAUCAGGAGGAACACCAAUGGCGAAGGCAGCUCGCUGGAACGGUACUGACGCUGAGGCGCGAAAGCGUGGGGAGCGAACAGG
rnacentral:rRNA from 1 species